UACGAAGGGGGCUAGCGUUGUUCGGAAUUACUGGGCGUAAAGCGCGUGUAGGCGGCUAUGUAAGUCGGGCGUGAAAUCCCACGGCUCAACCGUGGAAGUGCACCCGAAACUGCGUAGCUAGAGUCCUGGAGAGGAAGGUGGAAUGCUUGGUGUAGAGGUGAAAUUCGUAGAUAUCAAGCGGAACACCGGUGGCGAAGGCGGCCUUCUGGACAGUGACGUGACGCUG
rnacentral:rRNA from 1 species